ACAGAGGAAGGGGUGCUGCGUCCGCUGGCGCAGUCAACACCGGAAGGCGUGCUGCAGCCACUGUGUUAAGGACACCGCAACACGGAGACGACACGAGGGGCCGGGAGAACACAGAAAACAAGGACAGAGAGUGUUUACGAGAGCCUGCUCCUCAGGACUGUGGGAUAGAUGCUGGGAAACAUUCCAUGACCACAGUGCAGUUGACCAAGGCAGUUGCCAGACAGCUUUGGGAUGGAAACAACCUCCAGCAACAUAAAGCCAAGAUCCUAUCUGCACCUUUGAAAGUGAGGUCCUGUGACUUUGUUAGUCUUUGUUAUGAAGUAACAAACAGCAGGCCUGCUCCAGCAACCUCAACAGGAGCAGCCCCAAGAAAGCUACCUCCGUGGGAGCAGGCCAGAAUGACUUUUGAUUUUCAGAAUUGCAGAGCAACCCCAGGAGCACUGAGUGACCUCCAGGAACACUGAAUGAAUGCUGGGGUGACUGGAACUGUGGCCUUGAGUGUACCACAAGGAGCAACCAUCUGAGCCUUGGAUCCACUGGCACCUGGAAGACUGAUCACCAGAGACACAGCUUCAAUGACACCAAUCAGAGGGAAAGAAGGGUAGACAAGGUAAGAGCACAUUCAACACCACAAAAAACAACACGACACCAAUGAAAACUAGUUCUACAACAGCAAGAUUUGAACACCGCAAUGUAAAUGAAGCAGAAGAAAAUGACCUAAAAAAUAAUUUUAGGAUAAUGUUUGAGGCCCUUACAGAGGAAAUGAAAGAUUCCCUCAAAGAAAUAGAGAAGACAACAAAAAGUUGGAAGAAAUCAACAAAUUAAAGAAAACAAAGAAAAGGCAAUCAAGAAGAUGAAAGAAAUAAUUCAAGACUUGAAAUCUGAAAUAGAGACUAUAAAGAAAACACAAUCUGAAGGAAUUCUGGAAAAGAAAAAUAUGGGAAAAUGAUUAGGAAGCAUAAACAGCAGAAUACAAGAGAUUGAAGAGAGAAUCUUAGGCACUGAAUGAAGAUACAAUAGAGGGCAUAGAUUCAUCGGUCAAAGAAAACAUUGAAUGUAAUGAAAGCUUAAUACAAAAUUUCCAGGAAAUAUGGAACACCAUGCAAAGAUCAAAUCUAAGAAAAAUAGGUAUAGAAGAAGGAGAAGUCCAACUUAAAAGCAUAGAAAAUAUAUAUUCAACAAAAUCAUAGAAGAAAACUUUCCCAACCUAAAAGAAGAUAUGCAUAUGAAGAUACAAGAAACUUAUAGAACACCAAAUAGACUGGAUCAGAUAAAGUCCCCUUACCACAUAAUAAUCAAAACACUAAACAUACAGAAUAAAGAAAGAAUAUUAAGAGCUGCAAAGGAAAAAGGCUAAGUAACAUAUAAAGAUAGACCUAUAAGAAUUACACCUGACUCUCAGUGGAGACAAUGAAAACCAGAAGGUCGUGGUCAAGCGUUAUGCAGACAUUAAGAGACCAUGGAUGCCAACCCAGACUACUAUACCCAGAAAAACUUUCAAUCACCAUAGACAGACAAAACAAGAUAUUUCAUGACAGAAUCAGAUUUAACCAAUACCUAGCCACAAACCCAGCCCUACACAAAGUACUAGAAGGAAAACUUCAACCCAAAGAUGUUAGCUACAUCCACAAAAACACAGACAGUAGAUGAUCUCAAAGCAGCAAAUCCCAAAGAAGGGAAACACACACACAAUAACAUCACCAACAAUGAAAACUAAAUAACAAGAACUAACAAUCACUGGUCAUUAAUAUACCUUAAUAUAAAUGGACUCUACUCACUUAUAAAAAGACACAGGCUACAGAUUGGAUACAAAAAUGGAAUCCAUCCUUAUGCUUCAUACAAGAAACAUGCCUCAACCUCAAAGACAGACAUCGACUCUGAGUGAAGGGUUGGGAAAAAUUUUCCUAUCAACUGGACCUAAGAAACAAGCUGGUGUAGCUAUCUUAAUAUCUUACAAAAUAGACUUAAAACUAAAAUCAAUCGAAAGAGACAAAGGAGGACGUUUCAUGUUAGCCACAGGAAAAAUCCAUCAAGAGGAAAUCUCAAUAUUGAACAUCUAUGCCACAAAUACAAGAGCACCCUCAUAUGUAAAAGAAACACUACUAAAGCUUAACUCACACAUUAAACCCCACACACUAAUAGUGAGAGACUUCAACGCCCCACUCUCACCCUGGAAAGGUCUGCCAGAUGGAAAAUUAAGAGAGAAAUAAGGGAACUAACAGAUGUUCUGAUUCAAAUAGACUUAACAGAUAUUUAUAGAAGGGAGGGGAGUAGAGAAAAUACUUAGCUCAAUAAAAACAAUUUUUUUUAAAAAGACUAAAACCAAGGGGAAAAUUCAUUAUGACUAUGUUUCAUUUUUUAAUUAAACUAUGUAUUUUUUCUCUACUUUCCUCCCUUCCUUCCCCUUCUCCUUCUGCCCUCUCCCUUGAUACUGAUGAUCCCAAUUUACUCAGGAGAUCUAUGCUGCUUAUGGCUAUUAUGAAGGAUGGUGUUUCUCUGAUUUCUUUCUCAGGCUAUUUAUCAUCUGUGUACAGAAGGGCUACUGAUUUUUUUUGAAUUAAUCUUGUAUACUGCUACAUUACUGAAAGUGUUUAUGAGUUGUAUAAGCUUUUUGGUAGAAUUUUUGGAGUCAUUUAUGUAAACUAUCAUAUCAUCAGCCAAUAUUGAGAGUUUUACUUCUUCUUUUCUGAUUUGUAUCAUCUUGAUCUCUUUUUGGUGUCUUAUUGUUCUAGCUAGAACCUCAAGAGCUAUAUUGAAUAGAUACGGAGAGAGUGGUCAACCAUGUCUUGUUUCUAAUUUCAGUGGGAUAACUUUUAGUUUCUUUCUAUUUAGUUUGAUGUUGAUUGUUGUCUUGCUGUUGCCUUUGCUAUGUUUAGGUAUGUUCCUCCUCUCUAAGACCUUUGUCAUGAAAGGAUGAUGUAUUUUGUCAAAGGCUUUUUCAACAUCUAAUGAAAUGAUCAUGCAUUUUUUCAGUUUGUUUAUAUGGUGGAUUACAUAGAGAUAAGCAACUUAAAUAGACCUAUAACUGCUAGAAAAAUAGAAAUACGCAUCAAAAGUCUCCCAACCAAAAAAAGCCUAGGACCAGAUGGUUUCAGCACAGAAUUCUACAAGAUUUUCAAAGAAGAAUUAAUACUCCUCAAAUUGUUCACAUAAUAGAAACAGAAAAAAUACUGCCAGACUCUUUAUGAGGCUACAGUUACCCUGAUACCUAAACCACACAAAAACAUUACUAAGAAAGAAUAUUACAAACCAAUCUUACUCAUGAACUUGGAUGUGAAAAUACUCAAUAAAAUACUGGCAAACUGAAUCCAAGACCACAACAGAAAAAUCAUCCACCAUGACCAAGUAGACUUCAUCUCAAAGAUACAGAGAUUGCUCAACAUACAGAAAAACUUUCUUAAAAAUGCAAUAAUGAUAUAAAGAAAAUAUCUUCUUUUCAAAUAAUCUCUUACUUUUGUAGUGAAAACAGAACAUACUAUUACAUUGUGUGUCAUAUGUGUCCUCCAGAGCCCACAAAUCUCUUGAUCCCCAGUGUGAUACCUUGCAAAGCUGUGGGAUCUUUAAGAGGUGGGGCCACCUGGGGCGGACCUACUACAGUUGUUCUGCCGAAUGGACAUGGUAUCAAACUGCUCUCUAAAUUCCUGUCCUAUCCAUAAAUUAGUGCAGCUCCCAGAGUCCAUCAGAGAAGUAUCUUUGUGCUGUGGACAGUGGUUAAAACAGAAACACUGGUCAAACUACAGAGAAUAACUGUGUGCUCCAUAUCUUCUGAACAUGACGGGACCUCUGCACUCAUGAAUGCCUAUGUGUGGUUGCCUAUACAAGACCUGUGUAAGAUCAAGCCAGUCGGCCUUCUAGCAUGCAGUUGGAAAAGGCUCACGAACCCUGUACUGUCUUAUGUCAACUCGGCCCAGCUUUAAUCAUCUGAGAGGAUGGAACCUCAGCUGAGAAACUGCCUUCAUAAGACCCAGCUGUAGGCAAGCCUGUAGAACAUUUUCUUCAUCAGUGCUUGAGAUAGGAGGGGUCAACCCAUUGUGGGUGGUACCAAGCUUGAUGGGUGGCUCUGGGUUCUCUGAGAAAUUAGGCUGAGCAAGUCGUGGGGUGAAAGUCAGGAAACAGCAAUUCUUCUUAGCCUCUGCAUCGUCUCCUGUCUCCAAGUUCCUGCCCAGUUUGGAUUGCUGCCUUGACUUCCCUCAGUGGACGAUAAUUCAGGGUAGGUAAGUCGAAUAAAUCCUAUACUCCCCAAGUUGCUUUCGGUCAUAGUGUUUCAUCACAGCAAUAAUAACCCAACUGAGACAGAAAUUGGCACCAGGAUCAUGGAGUACUGUUGUGACAGACCUGACCAUGUGUUUUGGGAAGGACUGUGCAAGGACUUUGGAACUCUGGGUUGGAGAAGCUUUUGAGUUUUUAAAGCCGAGUGAGCUCUUCUGAGAACUUGGGAGAUUAAAGGCUAAUGUUGAGAGCUGUGGAGGUAAUGGCGUCCUGGCUCGUGAAGUGUCAGAGAGAAGCAAAGACUGUGAGGAACAUUUGAUAUUUUGAAUUAAGAACCUGUGGUUCUAGUCAGUUGGAACUGGAGAUUCAGCUGUGAUUACCAAGAGACCCCGCACCACCAAAGUAAAACUGUUGCUUUACUACGGACAGUUGAUGAUACUGGCAAUUAGCGGUAAUUAAGAGACCAGCAUUAUCGAGGUGAAGUCUCCUGGAAAGAAAAGUGUUUCCUCAGGAUCAGCACACACAAGGUGCGUUCCAGACAUGGCUGAGGCGACACUCACACAGGCAGCUGAAUUUGGUCGUGUGAGAGUCACCCAGGUGGUACUGCUUUUGAAGGCACGAAGGGGGCGUGGAAUCAUCUGAGGCUCAUCACUGUAAGAAAACCUGGAGUCCCUGAAGAGAGCCUAGGAGAGGCCAUGGUGAAGGUGCAGUAGAAGACCCCAACAUUUUGGAAAUGCCAGUACUGUGGAAGGACCACCAAGAACAGCAGCAGCAGCAGCAGCAGCAGCAGCAUGAAACCAGCCAGAGCCUAGAAGACAAUUGUUGCUGAGGGUUGAGCUGGAAAGUGACCCAGGCUGUUGGAGUCCAUAAAUCGGUUUGUUAAUGUCCAAUUCACUUAAUCAAUUGACUCUGGAGUCUCACUCAAGGAUAGUUGAAGAAUGUAAAAGAGUGUGUUCAGUUUGGCUCCAACUUGUCUGCACAUGCAUGUGAGCACAUUGGAUGUACGUGUUCUCUCUCUCUCUCUCCCUCCCUCUCCCUCUCUCUCGCUCCCUCCCCCUCCCUCCCACCCUCCCUCCCUUCCUCCCCAUGUCUCUCUCUCUCUUCCUCC